UUAUAGUUUCACAGCACAAAGGAAGUCGUAAAUCAAGUCUAGUUCACAGUAUAUUUGUGUGCUCAUCAGAGAGGCAGGUACAGCAAGGUGGGGGAAGCCUUUCUACAGGCCCAAGAUGCUAUCUGAUGACAUUCUUAGCUUCUGGGUCAGUGAAAUUUAGUGGUCUGUGAUGAGGAUAUUGUCUUCAAAGCAGAAAGAAAACAAACUUUCCCUGGAAACCCGCUGGCCAUGCUGGCCUGAGAAUCAGAUCUGAACAAUGAGAGGAAAAGCAUAUGUUGCUUAGCUCCAUCACAACAUGGUCCCGCCAGAGCUCAGGGUCACUUUGAUCAUCAUCCCAUCCAACAGAUGAAAGGAUAGCUGCAGAGUCAAGUUCACGUGAGUCCACAGAUUGAUUCAUCACACCUACUUCUGCCGAAGUGACUUCCUGAUGAAGAACACUGAUAUGGGAAACGUUAUCUCUAUGAUUUAUACCCAAUAUCUGUCUACAUCUUCCAAGGCGUUGUCUCUGAAUUAACAGUCAUGUUCCAUUAAUUGAUUAUCACUCAGCCAAACAAUUAGCCAUGACUAUGACACAAUGGAUAUGACAAUUCCUUUUUCCAAGCAAAACUUUCUCCAAAGAGCUAGACAGGCAAUGAGGUCCUUUUUUGUAUGAUUUUACUAGACAUUCCAUCAAAGUUUUCCUUAGUAUUCCAAGGCCAGAAAAGAAGCAGUAAACAUUAAAAGUGAGAAACAAAUGGCCUUUAUUUAAAAAUAACAUGACUGUAUGUAUAUACAUGUAAUCAUUAAAAACACCAAUGGAACUCACAAGUUGUGAGUACAUUUGUGGGUACAAAACGAAUGUAAAGAUGU